CAGCUAGUUGGUGGGGUAAAGGCCCACCAAGGCUACGAUCCUUAGCUGGUCUGAGAGGAUGAUCAGCCACAUUGGGACUGAGACACGGCCCAGACUCCUACGGGAGGCAGCAGUGGGGAAUCUUGCGCUAAUGCGGGAAACCGUGACGCAGCGACGCCGCGUGAGGGAAGAAGGCCUUCGGGUUGUAAACCUCUUUCAGGAGGGACGAAGCCACUCGGGUUAAUAGCCCAGAGGGUGACGGUACCUCCAGAAGAAGCCCCGGCUAACUACGUGCCAGCAGCCGCGGUAAUACGUAGGGGGCAAGCGUUGUCCGGAUUUAUUGGGCGUAAAGAGCGUGUAGGCGGCUAGAUAGGUCCGUUGUGAAAACUCGAGGCUCAACCUCGAGACGUCGAUACGGGCAUGACUGGAGUUCGGCAGGGGAGACUGGAAUUCCUGGUGUAGCGGUGAAAUGCGCAGAUAUCAGGAGGAACACCGGUGGCGAAGGCGGGUCUCUGGGCCGAUACUGACGCUGAGGAGCGAAAGCGUGGGGAGCGAACAGGAUUAGAUACCCUGGUAGUCCACGCCGUAAACGGUGGGCGCUAGGUGUGGGGGCCAUUC
rnacentral:rRNA from 1 species